UUCGUAGGCGGUGCGGCAAGUUGGGAGUGAAAUCUCUGGGCUUAACUCAGAGGCUGCUUUCAAAACUGCCGUGCUCGAGUGCGAGAGAGGUCAGUGGAAUUGCAGGUGUAGCGGUGAAAUGCGUAGAUAUCUGCAGGAACACCCGUGGCGAAGGCGGCUGGCUGGAUCGCAACUGACGCUGAGGAACGAAAGCUAGGGGAGCAAACAGGAUUAGAUACCCUGGUAGUCCUAGCCCUAAACCAUCAGAACUUGGGGUGGCCCGCGUAGGCGGGUCGUCCCGUAGCUAACGCGUUAAGUUCUGCGCCUGGGGAGUACGGUCGCAAGACUGAA
rnacentral:rRNA from 1 species